UGGGGAAUUUUGGACAAUGGGCGAAAGCCUGAUCCAGCAAUGCCGCGUGUGUGAAGAAGGCCUUCGGGUUGUAAAGCACUUUUGUCCGGAAAGAAAUCCUCUGGGUUAAUACCUCGGGGGGAUGACGGUACCGGAAGAAUAAGCACCGGCUAACUACGUGCCAGCAGCCGCGGUAAUACGUAGGGUGCAAGCGUUAAUCGGAAUUACUGGGCGUAAAGCGUGCGCAGGCGGUUUUGUAAGACGGAUGUGAAAUCCCCGGGGCUUAACCUGGGAACUGCAUUCGUGACUGCAAGGCUAGAGUAUGGCAGAGGGGGGUAGAAUUCCACGUGUAGCAGUGAAAUGCGUAGAGAUGUGGAGGAAUACCGAUGGCGAAGGCAGCCCCCUGGGCCAAUACUGACGCUCAUGCACGAAAGCGUGGGGAGCAAACAGGAUUAGAUACCCUGGUAGUCCACGCCCUAAACGAUGUCAACUAGUUGUUGGGGAUUCAUUUCCUUAGUAACGUAGCUAACGCGUGAAGUUGACCGCCUGGGGAGUACGGUCGCAAGAUUAAAACUCAAAGGAAUUGACGGGGUCAUAGCUGUUUCCU
rnacentral:rRNA from 1 species